rnacentral:rRNA from 1 species
UACGGGGGGGGCAAGCGUUGUUCGGAAUUACUGGGCGUAAAGGGCUCGUAGGUGGCCAACUAAGUCAGACGUGAAAUCCCUCGGCUUAACCGGGGAACUGCGUCUGAUACUGGAUGGCUUGAGAUUGGGAGAGGGAUGCGGAAUUCCAGGUGUAGCGGUGAAAUGCGUAGAUAUCUGGAGGAACACCGGUGGCGAAGGCGGCAUCCUGGACCAACACUGACACUGAGGAGCGAAAGCCAGGGGAGCAA